GGGGGCGUGGUGCAGUUGGUUAGCACGCCGGCCUGUCAAGCCGGAGGUCGCGGGUUCAAGUCCCGUCGCUCCCGCCA
rnacentral:tRNA from 1 species